GACGAACGCUGGCGGCGUGCUUAACACAUGCAAGUCGAACGGUGAAGCAGGAGCUUGCUCUUGUGGAUCAGUGGCGAACGGGUGAGUAACACGUGAGCAACCUGCCCCUGACUCUGGGAUAAGCGCUGGAAACGGCGUCUAAUACUGGAUAUGUGAUGUGACCGCAUGGUCUGCAUCUGGAAAGAAUUUCGGUUGGGGAUGGGCUCGCGGCCUAUCAGCUUGUUGGUGAGGUAAUGGCUCACCAAGGCGUCGACGGGUAGCCGGCCUGAGAGGGUGACCGGGCAGACUGGGACUGAGACACGGUCCAGACUCCUACGGGAGGUAGCAGUGGGGAAUAUUGCACAAUGGGCGGAAGCCUGAUGCAGCAACGCCGCGUGAGGGAUGACGGCCUUCGGGUUGUAAACUUCUUUUAGCAGGGAAGAAGCGAAAGUGACGGUACCUGCAGAAAAAGCACCGGCUAACUACGUGCCAGCCGCCGCCGUAA
rnacentral:rRNA from 1 species